ACCCCUUUAGCUCAGCUGGAGAGAGUGCCGCGCUACGAACGCGGAGGCCGCAGGUUCGACUCCUGCAAGGGGUG
rnacentral:tRNA from 1 species